GGGUUGUGAGGUUAAGCGACUAAGCGUACACGGUGGAUGCCCUGGCAGUCAGAGGCGAUGAAGGGCGUGCUAAUCUGCGAUAAGCGCCGGUAAGGUGAUAUGAACCGUUAUAACCGGCGAUACCCGAAUGGGGAAACCCAGUGUGACUCGUCACACUAUCAUUAACUGAAUCCAUAGGUUAAUGAGGCGAACCGGGGGAACUGAAACAUCUAAGUACCCCGAGGAAAAGAAAUCAACCGAGAUUCCCCCAGUAGCGGCGAGCGAACGGGGAGGAGCCCAGAGCCUGAAUCAGCAUGUGUGUUAGUGGAAGCGUCUGGAAAGGCGCGCGAUACAGGGUGACAGCCCCGUACACAAAAGCGCAUGUGCUGUGAGCUCGAUGAGUAGGGCGGGACACGUGGUAUCCUGUCUGAAUAUGGGGGGACCAUCCUCCAAGGCUAAAUACUCCUGACUGACCGAUAGUGAACCAGUACCGUGAGGGAAAGGCGAAAAGAACCCCGGCGAGGGGAGUGAAAAAGAACCUGAAACCGUGUACGUACAAGCAGUGGGAGCACCCUUUGGGGUGUGACUGCGUACCUUUUGUAUAAUGGGUCAGCGACUUAUAUUCUGUAGCAAGGUUAACCGAAUAGGGGAGCCGGAGGGAAACCGAGUCUUAAUUGGGCGUUAAGUUGCAGGGUAUAGACCCGAAACCCGGUGAUCUAGCCAUGGGCAGGUUGAAGGUUGGGUAACACUAACUGGAGGACCGAACCGACUAAUGUUGAAAAAUUAGCGGAUGACCUGUGGCUGGGGGUGAAAGGCCAAUCAAACCGGGAGAUAGCUGGUUCUCCCCGAAAGCUAUUUAGGUAGCGCCUCGUGAAUUCAUCUCCGGGGGUAGAGCACUGUUUCGGCUAGGGGGCCAUCCCGGCUUACCAACCCGAUGCAAACUGCGAAUACCGGAGAAUGUUAUCACGGGAGACACACGGCGGGUGCUAACGUCCGUCGUGAAGAGGGAAACAACCCAGACCGCCAGCUAAGGUCCCAAAGUCAUGGUUAAGUGGGAAACGAUGUGGGAAGGCCCAGACAGCCAGGAUGUUGGCUUAGAAGCAGCCAUCAUUUAAAGAAAGCGUAAUAGCUCACUGGUCGAGUCGGCCUGCGCGGAAGAUGUAACGGGGCUAAACCAUGCACCGAAGCUGCGGCAGCGAACGUAUCACUUAAAGCGAUUCAGCGGGUUACGAUUGACGGAGCGAAGCGACGUCAAAGCGUAUACAAAGUCGAGUCGGUUUAAGGAUACGUUCGUUGGGUAGGGGAGCGUUCUGUAAGCCUGUGAAGGUGGCCUGUGAGGGUUGCUGGAGGUAUCAGAAGUGCGAAUGCUGACAUAAGUAACGAUAAAGCGGGUGAAAAGCCCGCUCGCCGGAAGACCAAGGGUUCCUGUCCAACGUUAAUCGGGGCAGGGUGAGUCGACCCCUAAGGCGAGGCCGAAAGGCGUAGUCGAUGGGAAACGGGUUAAUAUUCCCGUACUUGGUGUUACUGCGAAGGGGGGACGGAGAAGGCUAUGUUGGCCGGGCGACGGUUGUCCCGGUUUAAGCGUGUAGGUGUGUGUUCCAGGUAAAUCCGGUUCACUUUAACACUGAGGCGUGACGACGAGGCACUACGGUGCUGAAGCAACAAAUGCCCUGCUUCCAGGAAAAGCCUCUAAGCAUCAGGUAACAUCAAAUCGUACCCCAAACCGACACAGGUGGUCAGGUAGAGAAUACCAAGGCGCUUGAGAGAACUCGGGUGAAGGAACUAGGCAAAAUGGUGCCGUAACUUCGGGAGAAGGCACGCUGACACGUAGGUGAAGUGAUUUACUCACGGAGCUGAAGUCAGUCGAAGAUACCAGCUGGCUGCAACUGUUUAUUAAAAACACAGCACUGUGCAAACACGAAAGUGGACGUAUACGGUGUGACGCCUGCCCGGUGCCGGAAGGUUAAUUGAUGGGGUCAGCGCAAGCGAAGCUCCUGAUCGAAGCCCCGGUAAACGGCGGCCGUAACUAUAACGGUCCUAAGGUAGCGAAAUUCCUUGUCGGGUAAGUUCCGACCUGCACGAAUGGCGUAAUGAUGGCCAGGCUGUCUCCACCCGAGACUCAGUGAAAUUGAACUCGCUGUGAAGAUGCAGUGUACCCGCGGCAAGACGGAAAGACCCCGUGAACCUUUACUAUAGCUUGACACUGAACAUUGAGCCUUGAUGUGUAGGAUAGGUGGGAGGCUUUGAAGUGUGGACGCCAGUCUGCAUGGAGCCGACCUUGAAAUACCACCCUUUAAUGUUUGAUGUUCUAACGUGGACCCGUAAUCCGGGUUGCGGACAGUGUCUGGUGGGUAGUUUGACUGGGGCGGUCUCCUCCUAAAGAGUAACGGAGGAGCACGAAGGUUGGCUAAUCCUGGUCGGACAUCAGGAGGUUAGUGCAAUGGCAUAAGCCAGCUUGACUGCGAGCGUGACGGCGCGAGCAGGUGCGAAAGCAGGUCAUAGUGAUCCGGUGGUUCUGAAUGGAAGGGCCAUCGCUCAACGGAUAAAAGGUACUCCGGGGAUAACAGGCUGAUACCGCCCAAGAGUUCAUAUCGACGGCGGUGUUUGGCACCUCGAUGUCGGCUCAUCACAUCCUGGGGCUGAAGUAGGUCCCAAGGGUAUGGCUGUUCGCCAUUUAAAGUGGUACGCGAGCUGGGUUUAGAACGUCGUGAGACAGUUCGGUCCCUAUCUGCCGUGGGCGCUGGAGAACUGAGGGGGGCUGCUCCUAGUACGAGAGGACCGGAGUGGACGCAUCACUGGUGUUCGGGUUGUCAUGCCAAUGGCACUGCCCGGUAGCUAAAUGCGGAAGAGAUAAGUGCUGAAAGCAUCUAAGCACGAAACUUGCCCCGAGAUGAGUUCUCCCUGAGACUUUAGGUCUCCUGAAGGAACGUUGAAGACGACGACGUUGAUAGGCCGGGUGUGUAAGCGCAGCGAUGCGUUGAGCUAACCGGUACUAAUGAACCGUGAGGCUUAACCUUACAACGCCGAAG
rnacentral:rRNA from 1 species